rnacentral:rRNA from 1 species
GGGUGAGUAACACGUGACCAACCUGCCUCGCACAUCGGGAUAACUGCCGGAAACGGCAGCUAAUACCGGAUACUAUCCCCCUUCCGCAUGGGAGGAGGAUGAAAGCUUUCGCGGUGCGAGAUGGGGUCGCGGCCCAUCAGGUAGUAGGUGGGGCAGCAGCCCACCUAGCCUACGACGGGUAGCCGGACUGAGAGGUCGAUCGGCCACAUUGGGACUGAGAUACGGCCCAGACUCCUACGGGAGGCAGCAGUGGGGAAUAUUGCGCAAUGGGGGAAACCCUGACGCAGCAACGCCGCGUGCGGGAUGAAGGCCUUCGGGUUGUAAACCGCUUUCAGCAGGGAAGAGACAGACGGUACCUGCAGAAGAAGCCCCGGCUAACUACGUGCCAGCAGCCGCGGUAAUACGUAGGGGGCGAGCGUUAUCCGGAUUCAUUGGGCGUAAAGCGCGCGCAGGCGGACCGUUAAGCGGGACCUCUAAUCCUGGGGCUCAACCUCAGGCCGGGUCCCGAACUGGCGGUCUCGAGUGCGGUAGGGGAGGUCGGAAUUCCCGGUGUAGCGGUGGAAUGCGCAGAUAUCGGGAAGAACACCGAUGGCGAAGGCAGACCUCUGGGCCGACACUGACGCUGAGGCGCGAAAGCUAGGGGAGCGAACAGGAUUAGAUACCCUGGUAGUCCUAGCCGUAAACGAU